CAAUCGGCCCUUUUCAGGCCCACCAAAUAUUAAAACCUACGAAAAAU
rfam:Nasonia vitripennis chromosome 5 unlocalized genomic scaffold Chr5_random023, whole genome shotgun sequence.